rnacentral:rRNA from 1 species
CAUCGCCUCUUGCAAAAUAUAGAAUAAGAGGUCGCGCCUGCCCAGUGACAUCUGAUUAAACGGCCGCGGUAUUUUGACCGUGCUAAGGUAGCGCAAUCACUUGUCUUUUAAAUGAAGACCUGUAUGAAAGGUAUGACGAGGGCUUAACUGUCUCCUUUUCUAAGUCAAUGAAGUUGAUCUCCCCGUGCAGAAGCGGGGAUAAUAACAUAAGACGAGAAGACCCUGUGGAGCUUGAGACGUCAGGGCGGAUCCCGUUAAACAUGCCUAUAAAGCUAAAAACUAAGAGAAAACCACCCUAGUGUCUUCGGUUGGGGCGACCAUGGGGAAAACAAAUCCCCCACGUGGAACGAGAGCACAAACCCCUUUCCUAUAACUCCACUCUUACAAACUAGAGCUACAGCUCGAGUUAACAGAAUUUCUGACCAAAAAUGAUCCGGCAAUGCCGAUCAACGAAACAAGUUACCCCAGGGAUAACAGCGCAAUCCCCUUUUAGAGCCCCUAUCGACAAGGGGGUUUACGACCUCGAUGUUGGAUCAGGACAUCCUAAUGGUGCAACCGCUAUUAAGGGUUCGUUUGUUCAACGAUUAAAGUCCUACGUGA